rnacentral:hammerhead_ribozyme from 1 species
AUCCAGCUGACAAGUCGCGAAUAUAAAACGAAACGCACGUCCUGGAU